rnacentral:lncRNA from 1 species
UUAAACAUAAGCGUAUUGGAAGAACUCCCAGACAUUCUGCAUAUUUUUAAAACAUUUCAAGCUGAUUUUCCUUGGUAAAAACAAUCUUCCUUCUUCCUGGAAGUGUCUUCAGCAGACGAUGCUUCCUUUGAAGACCACCUUCUACUGCAUGCAAAGACUUAAAGGGGGAAUACUUUAGCCGGCAUUGAGCAGAAGGAUAAAAAGCUCUGAAUAAUCAUUGUUCUCACUUCCAAAGAGGAUAAACAACAUGGAUUUUCCAAGGUGCCGCGUGACUUGGAUUUCUUCCAUUGCUGGAGAUUUCACUCUGACCAUGUGGACAGGAUGGUAUCUUCCAGGCUUCUUCAUGGUUUCCCCUUUUGCUUGGCUCUCAUUUUCUCUCUUGCCUGCCGCCAUGUAAGAUGUGCCUUUCUCCUUCUGCCGUGACUGUGAGGCCUCCCCAGCAACGUAGAACUGUGAGCGCAUUAAACCUCUUUUUCUUUGUAAUUCACCCAGUCUUGGAUAUGUCUUUAGCAGAAGCAUGAAAACAGACUAAUACACAUUUCCAUAUCUGUAGCUCCAUUUUGGCAACCCCCUUCUCCAGUAAGAAAUCUGGCUUCUCAUAUCUUUAAUGUGUUUACUUCACUGAUCAGUCCCCUUGAAUGCAAUCAGUCUCCCACAUCAGCCUGUACUCCCUCCUCUGGAUAGACACCCUCCUCACCCCCUCAAGCUCCAACACCCCAUGCCAGGCCCCUCACCAGGAUCCCCCACCCUGCUAGGAUUCUGACACCAUGCUCUGUGCUACUGUAGCCCACUGCCCCACUGCCAGCACAGACACCAGUGUGCUCCACCUCACCAGUGGCUUAAAGAUUUAGGUGUUCAGAAAAAUACAAGGGGAAAAGCCAUUUUUAGGAUUCUUUUAAAGUUUUUUACAUGUUUAGUCCUAAGGCAUGUGUCAUUUAUGAAAAACUAUAAGGAGAUCUUUUAGGUUAGGAGGGAGAUCUUUUAGGUACAAUCAGUAUCAAAAGAAGAGAUUUGCUGCCGAUUUUCAUUAUCUGGGAUUUCUCUAGGACACCAGAGGGCUGGAGGCACCUGUGUCACUGCUCCCCAUUCAUGCUGAGGAAGAUGUAACCCUACAAGGCAACCUUCAAGCAUCAGAGCACAGUGAAGAACUGCUUAUGUGCCUGACUCUGGACAGCACCCCAGGGACAGUGUGAUGAAAAUAAACAGCAUCUGUGCUAGAGAGGUUUAGUAUCCAGGAGAAGGAUUCAGACACACAAACGAGAGCAGUUAACACAUAGCCACGCUAUGAUGGAUGCUUACGAAGGGACCACUGGGGACCAAGGAAGGUUCUGUAGUUUAUCUGAUGGGAUCUGGAAGGGGCUGCAUUGGAGAAAGUGGUGCUUGUGACAUUUUAGGCAGAAGGAUCAUGCAUAUAGGUUAGGAGAACCAUUAAUAAAAGUCGGAUGUAAGGGCGUUUGAGAGUGAUGAGAGAGGUCUUCUAUCUGCCAUGCUGCAUUAAUUGGGUGACCACUGGCAGGUCUUUUAGCAGACUGUGUGUGUGUAGAGUGGGUUAGGGAAUACUGUAUCUCCUACUUCAAAAACUAGGUCUUGAGGAAUUAA